rnacentral:misc_RNA from 1 species
GAUGAAGAACGCAGCGAAAUGCGAUAAGUAAUGUGAAUUGCAGAAUUCAGUGAAUCAUCGAAUCUUUGAACGCACAUUGCGCCCUUUGGCAUUCCGAAGGGCAUGCCUGUUCGAGCGUCAUUACACCAAUCAAGCCUGGCUUGGUAUUGGGCGACGGGGACCGCAAGGCCCCCGCGCCUUAAUGACACCGGCGGGACGGACCGUAUCUCAGCGUUGUGGUAAAAAGCCGCUGGCGAGACGGGCUCGGCCGUGCCGUUAAACAACCCCAUCAAAGGUUGACCUCGGAUCAGGUAGGGAUACCCGCUGAACUUAAGCAUAUCAAUAAGCGGAGGA